rnacentral:rRNA from 1 species
GGAUUUAUCCAUUGGUCAGGCUUAACUGUCUGUACUGGUGUGACGAAUUCCUACCUUCUGAGGAAUCUUCAUGCCAUUAAUUUGGUGUGAGGGGGAAUCAGGACUGUUACUUUGAAAAAAUUAGAGUGUUUAAAGCAGGCCUACGCUUGAAUACAUUAGCAUGGAAUAAUAGAAUAGGAC